rnacentral:rRNA from 1 species
AGAGUUUGAUCCUGGCUCAGAACGAACGCUGGCGGCGUGCCUAACACAUGCAAGUCGAGCGAGAAAGCCCGCAAGGGUGAGUAAAGCGGCGCACGGGUGCGUAACACGUGGGUAAUCUGCCCUAGAGUCCGGAAUAACUCGCCGAAAGGCGUGCUAAUGCCGGAUGAGACCACGGGAGCCUCGGCUCCUGCGGGAAAAGGUGGCCUCUGUACACAAGCUAUCGCUCUAGGAUGAGCCCGCGGCCCAUCAGCUCGUUGGCGGGGUAAUGGCCCACCAAGGCUACGACGGGUAGCUGGUCUGAGAGGACGAUCAGCCACACUGGAACUGAGACACGGUCCAGACUCCUACGGGAGGCAGCAGUGGGGAAUCUUGCGCAAUGGGCGAAAGCCUGACGCAGCAACGCCGCGUGUGUGAUGAAGGUCUUCGGAUCGUAAAGCACUGUCGCGAGGGACGAAUAAGGGGCGGGCUAACACCCCGUUCCGAUGACGGUACCUCGAGAGGAAGCACCGGCUAACUCUGUGCCAGCAGCCGCGGUAAUACAGAGGGUGCAAGCGUUGUUCGGAAUUAUUGGGCGUAAAGCGCGUGUAGGCGGCCUUGCAAGUUGGGUGUGAAAGCCCUCGGCUUAACCGAGGAAGUGCGCCCAAAACUACAAGGCUUGAGUGCCGGAGAGGGUGGCGGAAUUCCCGGUGUAGAGGUGAAAUUCGUAGAUAUCAGGAGGAACACCGGUGGCGAAGGCGGAUCUCUGGGCCAUUACUGACGCUGAGGAGCGAAAGCGUGGGGAGCGAACAGGAUUAGAUACCCUGGUAGUCCACGCCGUAAACGUUGGGAACUAGGUGUUGGCGACAUUCCACGUCGUCGGUGCCGCAGCUAACGCAUUAAGUUCCCCGCCUGGGGAGUACGGCCGCAAGGCUAAAACUCAAAGGAAUUGACGG